CCAAAUUGAGAGGGCUUGUCCAAAUUAAUGUAGGCCGGGCAUGAAACACUUUUAGAAAAAAAAAAUAACGAAGAACUCAAACCUCCUCACUCUCCCAACAGCGUCUCCCCAAAACCAAAACCUACACUUGAAGUCCAUCGGAUCCAAGACCUUUGUUCUACACUGACACCAAAUUCAUCGGAUCCAAAACCUACACCUAGACCUUGAUUUCCUGAAUUUUGGGAAUUUUGAUUUCUGAUGCGAUUAUUUGUUUGUUGCAGUAAGAAGACCAAGAGGGAGGUCAUCGGGCUCAAAGUGGAGGGUCCGAAGAUCAGAAUCAGAGCUCUGGUUGACGGCGGAGGAGAAAUCUGAUUUGGUCGAGAGCAGCGGAGGCGCUCAUGUGAAUACUGAAAAGAAAGACAAAGGUUGGUAGUGAAUCGAAUCCAUUCGAAGCAAAAGGGAUAGUGUGAUUGAUACCGAAAUAGAGAUGAGCCAACUUUCAUCUCUUAGUUUCCGGCCUUAUUAUGGCUCUCUCAGUUUCUCAGUUAAUCGGACUCCCUCUUUUUGUCGCUUCAACCUCCCCUUCCGAUGCCCCACUACUAGUGGAUUGCGAGGCAACUCUUUGACUGGAGCACUGUCCCCUGAUAUGUGUCAAUUAACUGGUCUGUGGUACUUUGAUGUUAGAGGCAAUAACCUGACUGGCCCCGCGUCUCGUAUCAGAUCACCAAAAUCAAUCUUUACAAGGAUGGUAGGCAUGGAAAGGCUUGGGGUGUCGUUCGUAAGGAAGGUUUCAGGUGAAAAAGAAGCAGUUUUUUUUUCGUAAUUUCAUUACUAUUGUAAUGUUCGGUGCUAUUGGUACAUUAGUGUCCUGCACCAUCAUAGCAUUUGGUCAUGAUCCUAGCAUUGACUGGUGAGAAAGGGUAUAAUUGAAUUGCAGUGUUUCUGUUUUGGCAUGUGUACCCCUCAGUGAACUAUUGAUCCAUAUGCAGUUGGAACUACAGAAAGAGAGCAAAAAGCUCCUACAGAAGCUUCUAAAGUUAGACUCCAAUGAGGCCAUGAGAGCAGCAAAGCUUGCAAAGCUAGACUUCUUAAGUAAAUUUCUGGAUGUAUAUUGCUAGGAGAGUAGUAUUAGAUGUACUCCUUUUGUAGAUGAAAGAUUACCUUUGCACAAUCUAUUUUGGUGCAUGAUAUGGAUUAUAACAAUUUCUUCUAUAUAUUGAUAAGCUACUGUUAAUUUGAU